rnacentral:rRNA from 1 species
UGACCUCAAAUCAGGUAGGACUACCCGCUGAACUUAAGCAUAUCAAUAAGCGGAGGAAAAGAAACUAACAAGGAUUCCCCUAGUAACUGCGAGUGAAGCGGGAAAAGCUCAAAUUUAAAAUC